GUCGAGCUGAGAAGACGUGUGAGAACACCUUGAAUGUCGGGGACCGUUUGUCUUGGGAAGAUACGUUGCCAUGCGGAUAGGGCGGGCGUGCGUAGAGACGCGCUCGCCCAUGUCCUUAGCAUAUCUGUUUUCUAGCCAUACAAGUUCGGCAGUUGAGUGAUUUAUGUUCGGCAUAGGGAUGCUCGUUUAUCUCUGGUUAGAUGGAAAGAUUCCCCCGUCAGGAAGUUUGGUCAAUUGUCCUUCUGCAAUAAAUGCCCACGUCUCGAGGGAAAGACUGAGGAGACAUGACCUUUGGUUUCUAAGUGACACGUGCAAAGGUUACUAUGGUACUUGAGUACCUACUUCCUGAAGAGUGUUCUUGGUUUGUGUUUCCAAGGUGUCAUCAGAACUGUUGAUUUAAUCUUGACAUUUGAUGAACUACCACCAUUAACCAGAGCCCUUGGGUGGGUGGUUGGAUUUGAUCUAGAUCGUGGGUUUGCCACUUGAAUGGAGAGUUGCAUGGGAAGGAUUGCAUCGGAUUUUAACUGCAUGACUCUGAAAGGUCUGUGAAGCGGGUAUAAAUAGUUUCAAACGCUUGUUUAGAACACUUUUAACACUUCACAUUUUUAGAAAUUCAGAAAAUUUCUAAGGGUUCUUUCAGAGACGAAGCAGUUAUGUUCCUUCAACUUCUCGCUUCAAGCCCAAUUCUUCUUCUAUCGUAACAGGUAACGCUCCUAUAACACCUUUUCCCUUUGUUUUCAUGCUUGGCUUAUGUAGUUUCUUGUUUAAGAAACUGUAGAAAUGCAUGUUUUUAGGGUAGAAGUUAUUUCAAAGCGGUGGUUUCUGCCGUUUGCUAUGGUGGUUCCCACUACAUGUAAAGAGUCUUAGGAGUUUUGCUGUUUGUUUUUUGUAUUUCGCUUGCAAGGAAACAUCGUGAGGGUGGUGACCCUUUCGCAUUUUUGCUCUGAUUUUAGCGGUGAUGCUUGAUCCCUUCCUCGUCGUGGUCGACCUAAUGGGUGAAGGAAGGGUGGAUCUGAAUGUUAGAUUCACUUUUUCCUUGCUCUUCCAGGUUUUCUAUGGCGAACGAGGAAGUUUCCGCGCCUGCCUCUUCUUGGCUGGGGGAGGAACCCCUGGAGACGGAGUCGUCGUUUGCUAUAGGUGGAACAGGAGAGAUCCCUUUUACCUCCGUUGGUAGAUUCGAGGAUCGGGAAGUUGUACUUCCGAGCACAUUUGAUCGAGCAUGUUCGGAGUACGAGAACCAUAUCUUUCCCAUGUAUGAAGUGGUUUUCAAAGACAUGGGUUUUCAGCUUCCCUUCUCUGAUUUUCAGAGGGAGCUGCUCCGUUGGACCAAGUUGUCGCCUUCUCAGAUCCAUCCCAAUUCUUAUGCUUUUAUGAGGGCAUUUGAAUUCGUGUGCCAGUAUCUGAAAAUUCCCCUCUUCAAGAACGUUUUCUUCACCAUUUUUACCGUGCAACGAGGUGCGAACUGGGUUUCUUUCGGUCAGACCCAAAAGAUGUUUGACAUAUUUGCGGGGAAAGUCUGGAGUUUCAAAGAACAUUUCUUUCUGGUAAGACCGAGAAGUGAAACGACUUUGAAUACUCUUUUGGAGGCGACGUAGGAAGGAGUCCAGGACCGCCGUACCCUCUUCCCCCUAUGCUUGAAUUUCUAGUUUGAUGGAGGAGUAGAUAGAUGCUCGCCAAAAACUUUGGGCGUUUGUUCAGUCUUUCUCGUGGAAGGUCAAAACUGACAAACGGGGGAACCAAAUGAUGAAUGCGGACGUGACACCAGUUAUAGAGCCCCGCUUCAUCAAUACCCAUGAGUUAGUGGUGUCUCAGGACCCAAAUGAUUGCCUUGGUAGUUGCACUAUUUUUUCGUACCUUUUAGUUUGUUUAUGUGUAUAAUCGUUCAUGUUUGACUAAUUUUUUUUUCUGUUUUUUGUGUUUGCCGAAAAAAUGAAAGAUCUACACGCGCCCGUGAACGAGACGAGAAAGAAAGUUGCCGCCAAGAACCGGUGCACGAAUGUCCAGUCCGUGAGAAACCUUAUAGCUGGUUCUGGUCCGGGCUCAACCUCUAGUCUAGUGGUGGACCUGGGAGGAGUGAUUGUUCUUAGGAUAAGGCGCAGGAACCUGCGAAGAGAAGGAAAGUGGAGACACCUUCAAAAGAGCCAACCACGCCUAUCAGGGUUGUUCCUCUUCGUUCUGAAAGUGGGGAUUUCCUUCAGCUCCCCAAAGUAUGGUCCGAGCCUGAUCAUUGUGUCCCUCAAUCGACCCUUUUCAUGGAUGACCCUGAGCUACGGGCUAUUCAUGACCUUGGUCCUGCUGGCCGGAGCAAGGCAAUAACAGAAUGAGUUAUUGCUACUAUGAAGGCUCUGGAGGUCGCUACGGUCUUGAAUAACGAUUCUCUUGAGGGCAAAAUUCGGGAGAAUGCGCUGGCCAAGGAGAAGGAUGCUCUGGCUACUAAAGUUUCCCAACUUGAAGGUGAUACUGCUGCUGCAAGGACAGUUUCUGAGGAGCGUGACGAUAUGUUGCUGUUAUAGAAAAGCAAUUGGCGGAUGCACGAACGGCCCUUGAGCAGACGGCCGAGUCUUCUAGGAGGCUGGACCAAGAUAAGUUGGCCUUGGAGGAGUCUCUAAAGAAGGCGGACCUCCCAGGGGAGGAUGAGACGGAUGACAUAGCUGUCCUCAGGCGUGCUGACCUGGUUGAAAGGGUUAGCUUGCUGGAAGGAAGUUGGUGGAUGCCGUCAAGCUCGAUUUUGAUUACGCAGUGGCUCAGUUGAAGGUGGUAAACCCCGACAUUGACUUGUGUGUCGAGUGGAUUCACCAUCUUAGUGAUGUUGAAGAUUGUGUGAUUAAACCUCCCCUUGAUUUUGAGGAAAAUAUAAGGCAUGUUGAUGACGCCCAGGCCGAUGAGGCCUUGUAAUUAAUCUCUUCUUUAACAACCUCUGUUUGUAACUGGCCUUUGAGCUGAUGAUAUUGUGCGCCCUUCGUGGUUUUAGCACCUUUAACUUUAUGUUUGCUGUUUUUGGUUCUCAUCACACUUUGCUGAAAAAUGUUUGUUUUAUUUUCAAGUAUGACGUUCGAAUCGAGUGCUCGUUGUGUGAGGCUUUUUUUAUACUGUUAUAAAAGUAUUUGAGAGCGAACUAUUAAUCUUCUAUGUUUAAGAAGUAACAAUCCAUAUGCUCUUAUUUCUUUGUUUUUUGGUGCUUGUUUUGUUAAGUUAAGCGACCUUUGAAACAGAGAUGAGUGGCGUUGUAAUCUACCCCCCGACAGUCGUUAUUUUGAUGAAAUAAAACAAGGACUGGAUAAUUUUUCAUGUUCGCCGACGACUUGGUACUUUAACUCAUUGUUUUGAAUUAAAGUUUAGCCUUUCUUUCCCAAGUAUCGUUGCUCGGUCGGAACGUAUACCUUCUGUGUUGUUUGCAAAGGGAAAUUCGGGCUUGACAGUUCUAACUUUUUGCGGAGUCUUUGUUAGAAGCAUUUCACAUCCAAGAGAUUAUUUAUCUAAAUGUGUGUCCAAAGUUUUUUUUUUGGACAGAGAACAAUGGAUGAACGAAAAAACCAAUUUAAGUUCAACGCACGGAGACGUGAAUCACCCAUCGCGAGCUGGGGUUCUACCUGACAUGCUGAGCAGUGAUGUCGCAGUUGGUAGCGAGCAUACUGAGGAAUACCUGUAUUUGUUGUGUACAUUUCACUUAUCCUUUAUUUUUUCGAUUUGGAGUGGCACAACUUUCCUCCUCCGUUGUACUUGUUCGUUAUUGGAGAGCAUGACUUUCGUUGUAUUGAACUAAGUAUAUAGACUAGAGUUUAUUGUCUAUUUUUUUCAUCUAAUUGUAAUACCUUUUGAGUUUUUCGGUAUUCCAAGUCCUUAGAAUUGUGCCUUUGUUGAGGUCUUCGAGUGCGUAGGCUCCUGUCCCGAUUUUCAUUCAAACUUUAUAGGGUCCCUCCCAGUUGGCAGCGAGUUUUCCCUCUUCAUAGUCUUUUUGAUUUCGCCGGAGGACGAGAUCGCCAACUUCGAAUUCUCGGUUUACGACCUUCUUGCCGUGGCUAGCGGCUAUCUUCUGUUUUAGCGAUGUUUCUCACAAAGCUGCUUCAUUUCUGACUUCGUCAACCUCUUCACCUAAGUUAGUCGAGUUGUCUAGGAAAUCAGUGUCGGCGUUGGUUCUCCAAAUGAGUUCAGUUAGCUCAAUGGGAACGACCGCUUCUGUCCCAUACGUAAGUUGAAAAGGUCAAUGAGAAACUAGAGAUGUCAGUUCGGCAGGAGGUGCGAGGUUCAUGUCUCCGUGUCGUUGACCUUUGUCACACAGGUUGACAUAAUCUUUGGCAUAUUUCAACAUGGUGGGCCAAAAGUAUCCUGCUCGUAGGACCUUUUUGGCGAGAGCUUUCGCACCAAGAUGUUGUCUGCAUAUGCCAUUGUGUACGUCGGCAAGUACUUCUUGGGUCUCGUUAGGUCCCAAACACUUGAUAAGUGGUGUGAUGAAACCUUUUUUGUAUAUCAUUCCUCCCACUAAAGUGAAUGAGAAGGCCCUUCCCUUCAGCUUCGUUCUUUCAUGGGGAUCAGUUGGAGUUCCCCGUUAGUUAUUUAGCGUGUAAUGGGUCCUCUCCAGUCUUCCAUCCCAAUAACUGCGUUGACUUCGUGAAGUUGAGCUUUCUACCUCUUAAUGCUAGGUUUGUUGAGGACUUCUUGAAUCACCGUUUUGUUUCCAUUUGCAGUCCGUAUGCUAGCGAGUUUUGAGAGAAUGUCUGCUCGGGUAUUUAGUUCGCGGGGAACAUGAGUUAUCUCUACAAUUUCGAAUUCUUUCAUUCUCUUGAGUACUAGCUAGACGUACUGUUGUAGAUGCUCUUCUCGGACCAGAAAAUCGCGAGUCACCUGCGAAGCCACUAAUUGAGAAUCGGUAAAGAUUUUUACCUUUUUGGUUCCUAGAUCCUGGGCGAUCCGCAGGCCGGCCAAGAAGGCUUCGUACUCUGCAGUGUUGUUAGUUACAGGAAAAGAUAAAAUAAGGGAAAUUCAACGACAAUACCUUCAUUUUUUUCUACAAUUACCCCUGCUCCGCUUCCUUUAGAAUUGGAUGAUCCGUCUACGAAGAUGAUCCAUUCUUUUGUGUUCUGUUACGUGGGGAAGGUCAUUUCAGCAAGGAAGUCAGCGAACACUUGUGCCUUCAAUGCCUUUCUGAAUUCGUAAUGUAUGUCGAAGUCGGAUAGCUUAAGUGACCAUUUCAUCAUCAUUCCGGCGGCGUCAGGGCGACCUAAGAUCUGUUUGAUGGGCUGAUCGGUUCGGACUAUUACUGUAUGAGCUAAGAAGUACUGCCUCAGUAUUCGUGUUGUCGUGACGAGUGCGAGAGCUACUUUUUCGAUCUUCCGAUACCUCGUCUCUGGCCCUAGAAAAGCUUUGCUGGUGCAAUACACUAGUUUAUGUCCUUCCGAAGUUUCUCUUACUAGAACAGCGCUGACUGCGUCAGAAGAAACGGAGAGGUAGAGGUACAAUACUUUACCUUGAUUAGGCCGUGAGAAAACUGGAGGUGCGGAGAGGGUCUCUUUGAUAUGCUUCAAGGAGGCUUCGCACUCGUCAGUCCAUUCGAACUUUGUCUCCUUUCUCAAGAGUUUGAAGAAAGGUAACGCGUGUUGAGCGGAUUUGGCGACGAAUAUGGAGAGUGCAAUCAACAUUUCGUUGAGUGUUUGGAUGCAUUUCCUAGAGUGGGGUGUGGGGAUUUCCAUAAAUGUGUGGCAUUUAUUUGGAUUUGCCUCAAUUCCUCUUUCUGUUAGAUAGAAACCAAGGAACUUACAUGCUUGAACUCCGAAAGUGCAUUUUUCAGGGUUGAGUCGCAUGUUGUACUUCCAGGUUUGUUCAAACACUCUCUUGAGAUUGGAGGCAUGAUCAACCUCUUGUUGGGAUUUGACAAUCAUGUCGUCCAUGUAGACCUCAAGAAUGUAUCCCAGAAGUUCCUUGUCGUAGACUUUGUUCAUCAUUCGUAGAAAAAUAGUCCCCGUAUUUCGUAGAGCGAAGGGCAUUACGUUAUAGUAAUAGUUCCCUGAUUCGGUCAUGAAGGCUGUUUUCUUUUUAUCUUCCUCAGCCAUGUGUAUCUGGUUGUAACCAGAAUAGGCGUCCAUGAAAGAUAAAAGUUUGUAGUCGCAGGAAUUAUCAACGAGUUUAUAUGUUAGGAAGUGGAUAUGCGUCUUUAGAGCAGGCCCUAUUAAGAUCGGUAUAAUCAUCACACAUACGCCAUUUUCCAUUAGAUUUCAUGACAAGUACAACUUUGGAGAGCCACAUAGUGUAUUUGGCCUCAGAAAUAAAAUUUUCCUCUAGGAGGUCUUUUACAGCUUUUUCUACAGCCUCUGACUUUUCAGGAGACUGCUUUCUACGUUGCUGAGCUACAUCGCUAACACCAAGGUCAACUGUCAGUUGGUGACAGGCGACGCUUGGGUCGGUUCCGGGCAUUUCGGCUGCACUCCAGGCGAAUAGAUCAGCAUUCUCCCUCAGAGAGGCGACCAACUUUGCUUUGACAAGUUCAGGAAGAUCCUUGCCGAUCUUGAAGUUCUUCGAGGGGUCGUUUCUAAAAGGAACCAACUCAAAUCCCCUGUUAGGAAUAGGUCUAAGAAGUUUCGCGCUGAGCAGGUCCUUUUCCCUCUUUUGUUCCUUGAGGUCUUCCUUGGUGAACCUGGGGUCAAGAUCGACCAAGUUUGCAUCCAGAGUGCUCGUAGCAGCUUUUCCAUCGCCAUCAGCAGGUUUGCUGGAUUGGGAAACCGAGUUCUAGGUUUUGUUUUCCUGAAGAAAUCAUCUUCUUGCAGCUUCGAUGUCUUCGUUCAAGGAGGCGAAGAUGCCAUCCUUUGCGUGGUAUUUCAACUUCAGAUGAGCGGUUGAACAUGCAGAGUCCAACUGGGCGAGUCCGUUCCUCCCUAUAAUGCAAUUAUAAAGAGAAGGACAGUCGAUCACCAGGAAUGGGAUCUUUAUUGUUUUCUUGGCCUCCUUUUCGCCGAAGGUGACCAGCAGCUCUAUGUAGCCCCAAGCCCUUAGGAUCGAACUCUUUCUCUAAAUCAUCAACUUCAGAUAUCAAAUCAUAUUUGGCUGGUAAAAUGGAAACCAAAUUGCAUAUGACAUCAAAGUCUGGUUUUCAAUCUGUAAAUCCCGAUCCUAACUCAUUAUCCUCAUUAGGAUCAUCUUUGACUAUAGGAAGAGAUAACCUCUCUUUUGUUGGUCUUCUAUUGGAUUCGACCAUUCUCUGAUCUCCCUUCGGGUCAACAGUUUCCUCUUUAAGGCUUGUAAAAAUGCCUUUCUUGGACCUCUGGUACCUCCUCCACUGAGUUCUUGUCAUGGGAUUAUUUACCUUGUAGUUGUUGUAAUGAGAAAACUUCCUCGACUCAAAGGCAGUACCAUUUUUGUUGUUAUCCACAACACUGGUGUUUCUUUUCACCAUAUUGUUCUUCCCAUGUUGCACAUUCUUGUGGGUCGAUUGAACCCAUUUUUGGUUUGGUGCAUAAGGGACCAAAGUUUUUCCGUGACCACUCUGAUUGACAUAAUUGGAGGUUGAAGAGUUAUUGAUGAAAUGAAUAUAACUCUUUGUAAAGGAAAACGUAGGUAUAUGAUCAGCAGACCAUUUCCCCCUUUUCUUAGGUUUUGGGAUAGAACCUUCGAGGCCUUUAGUUCUCUUUUUGUCAAACACAACACUACAUCUAGGGCAGAGCAUUACCUCAAAAUUCUCUAGCUUGCAUCGAUUGAGAAAGUCAAUCAAUUAUUCUUCAACUGUAGGAUAGGCUGUCUUUAGCUUCCCGUCGAACUGAGGCUCUAAAGCAGUCUCCUCGACGUGUUCUGCAUCUUUCGUGAUGUGCACUAUUUGACAUUCUGCAACUUCAAUUUCUGCUUCUAUUUCUUCUUCGACAGACAGGUUCUCGACCACAUCAAUGAUUGUUUCGACCAUAUUGCAGCCUACAAUGUCAGUGUACAUCAUGCUCGCAUCUUUCAAGGGAUCAGAGUCUACUUGCAUUUGAAACUUUGGCUUGUUUCCAAACUUCAGUCUGCCUUCAUUAAGACCUUCUGAACCAAAUCCCUAAAAAGGUAACAUCGAGAGGUGUUAUGUCCCAAGAAGUUAUGAUAUUUACAAAAACCUCUUUUCUGACGUUUUUCUAGUGGUGGGAUUUUUACAUCCUUAGGAACGACGACUUGACCAUCAGCAACUAAGAGAUUAUAAAUCUCGUCGCAUUUGGUUACGUCGAAGGUAUAUGUCUUAGGGACAUAUCUUUCAUUGCUUGUUUCGACAGGACUAUUCCCAUCGGAAGGUCUUAACAAUUUACACAUAUAAGGGGCCCUGGUUUCAACUCAGCAAUAUCAACCUUCUUUAUUUCGACUUCGGCAAAGGCUAUGUCAAAUUCUUGGUUGCUUUCUUUUGAUGCGACAAAAGCAACCUUUUCUUUCCUGAAAUGUUUUCGAGUUCUAGCUUUUUCAGACUUUAGUCUUUCGACAUGUCGAACUCUAUCGGCCAACUGGGCCAUGUCUCUCAAGUGUUGAGUGUACAAUUUCUUCCGAAUGGAAUAAUCUAGGCCACCAACGACCAUUUCGACUAACUCAUGUUCAGGCACUUGAGUGAAACAUCUUUCCUUUAACAAUCAGAAUCUAUUGAGGUAAUCAUUAAUGGAUUCAGCGAAAGUUCUCUUAACAUUCGCUAAUUCCUUUAGACUGAUCUUCGAUUGGCCCAUGUAGAAUUGUUCAUGGAAUAACCUUUCCAAUUCAGUACAAUGUUGGAUCGAAUGUGGUGCAAGAGUAGUAAACCAUGUUAAGGCAUUCUUUGUUAAGAGAAUUGGGGAAGAAUUUCAACCUUAAAUUCUCAUCAUUUGCUAGGUCUCUUGCCUCCGUCAAAUAUCUUCCGAUAAGUUCGACAAUGAACUCACCGGUAUCCCCUGCAAAAUUGGUGAACUUAGAAAUUUUAUAACCCCUUGGAAGUUCAUAUUGUAAUACCAAUUACGACAAAGGAGAAACAAAGUUUGGCCUAUGCAGGCCAAUAUUUAAACCAUUUUGAGCCAUUAUAUUUUCGACCAAAUUGGCUAUUAUGUUAUGUUUUGUUGUCGAACAUUCCGAACAACUUCAUCGACAUUAUCAUUUCGAUGUAUCAAGAUCACUUCAGGUUGACCCUUUAUUACUGGUUCGACCGGUUGGGGUUGAGGCACAUAUUGUUGCCUCUUAACCAUUUGUUCAACUAACCGCAACAGUUGUUGAUUUUGUAUUUGUGUAACCGGAUGAUAAAUCGGUUGUGGGGGUGCAAAGAAAUCUUCUAUUCUCCCCAUGUGUGUGGUUAAGGCUUGGUAACUCCGGUUUGUGUCCCUUAUCAAAGGAUUCAACACGGUACCAAUUUUUUGUGUCAACAAAUUAACCAUUUCGUGGUUACUCUCAUCCAUUUGUUGUCUUAACAAAUUCAUCAAUGUGUUGUCAACGGUGGUAGAGUAUUCCGACCAAAAAUGCUAGAACUUGAGGGACUAUGUACGUUGUGCAUUGUGAACGGAUUUGCUUGGUCUGUAAAAACGAAAGCACUACUAUGUAAAUUUGCCAUCAUCAAAGGUGGCAUACCAUACAGUUGUUCCCUCGAAAUGUUCCGUACACUUACAUUUCGAUCAUCAAGUCUAGGCCUGUUUGAAGGAGCACUAGUACUUGGCAUGUUGGAAGUCGAAGGAACACCAGUGGUGAAUGGGAGUAUAAUUGUUCCCAUUUCUGGUCGUGUCAUUUGAGUGGACGUCGAAACGGUUGGAGGAGCAGUUACUCCCAUUUCUGUCGAGCCUGGAAUAGCCAUGGUUGCCCACACAGGGGUUGACACGUUUAAAUCUCAUAAAGGAGAGGUCGCUUGUAAAGGUUGUGCUUGUGAAGAUGAUUGUGAAGAGGAUGAACUGGCACGAGCCAUAGAUUUACCACUUCUCAAAUGCAUACACAAACAAUCUUGAUGUUUUUAGCAAUAAAGUUACCCGGAAAUAGUAACAAAACUCUAAAAAUGGAUCUAUUCAAAGAGAUAGAUUUUGAAAAUGAUUUUUGAUUUUUGAAAAAGUUUUUGAAAAUCAAUUGCAAUAAUUGGGUCCAAUCGGGCAUGCCAAUUUGUUUGCCUGUGAUUUUGGCAAACGGGGGCAUGUUCUGAUUAUUACAAACGAGAUCGAACUAGAAAUCUCAAGACCGUUGUGAAAAGGUUUUUUUUGUAGGAAAAGAUUUGAAAAAAGGCCACGAAAUGCACUCAGGUUGCUUAGAGAGCAGGAAGGGUUUGAAAGAAAAGGCAUUGUCUCUUGACAGGUUUGAGUUUGCAAGUAAAAAGCUUAAAAUAAAGCAAGAUAAAAGUAAGUUUACGCACGUAAACUCAAGGAAAAGGUGAAAUGCAAUGCAUUAAAAUAAAAGGGGCGGUCUACAAAUCAGUUUACAUACAUUCUAUAUUACUCGUUUCCCUAGACGCUGGUAGUUUGAGUGUUGUAGAAAUCUGUAUAUGAUUUGCGACCCUCUUUCCGGCUUGGAAACUACUAUUUAUACUAAAAACUAGAUGGCGAACCACUAAGCCCAUGAUCAGCACUUCCUCCAUCUUGGACAACUACUUGUCCCACGUUUUCCACUAAAAGGAAACCGCCUCAUUGCUUGAAAUCGUGCUUUCCCGCCUUUUGCUUGUCUUCGAUACGAAAUUGCUCUUUCAGCCUUACUUCGUCGAAACUCUGAUUAUGCGCCUUAGGCUUAAAGCUUCAUCGAAAUUCUUCAAUUGAAAUGAGAAAGCUCUUCGAUUCCUGCAAAGCAAAAAGGUCAAAAAAAUGUCGACCAUAUUAAACGAGCCUGUGAAAUUUACAGGUAACACUGCUCUAUUUACUUAAUGAUCUUCAUGUCAAAACAGUCAAGCUUCCAGUGUUAUAUUUUGAUAAUCAGAGUGCUUUGCACAUUGUAGCUAAUCCAAUGUUUCAUGAGAGAACAAAACAUCUUGAAAUUGACUUCCAUUUGGUUAGAGACAAGAUUCAAGCUGGCAUCAUGAAGCUUCUUCCUGUUUCCUCUAAAGACACGUUAGCAGAUUUUUUAACUAAGCAUUUGCUUCCUCAACCAUUCAACAUUCUAUUAUCCAAGCUGGGAAUGCUCAACAUUUACCAUUCUCCAGCUUGUGGGGGGAUAUUAGAGAAUGAAGAGAAAGACAUGAAGCAUAAUGCUGUAUCUUGAGGCACAAGUCACAUAGUUACUUGAGCUGCAAGUUACCUUUCCUUUUGCAUCUUUAGCCUUAGUGAAUAUGAUAGUUGCCUAUAAAUAGAUGAUGUAACUUCAUUUUACAAUCAAUGAGAAUGAGAUCAUUUUACAUUUCUUGCUUUCCAUAACAGUGAUCUUUAAUUUUAAGACUCCCUGUUUCUGAUUUUUUUGCUCUGGGUUAAAUAGAAAGAAUAAACCAUUCAAAACCAUAGUAGAGGAGGCAAAUCGAAUGAAAACAAGGGGUAAGUUGUUCUACCACAAAUAUCCUUAUUAAGUUCAUGCAUUGUAUGGCCAGUCUCUUUAGCUAGAAAAAUAUAUUUUGACAUCUUCAUUCAGACACCACUGCUAACAUUAUAUGGUGAUAAUCAUGCAGUAGUUGAUUCUUAAACUAAAAAUAUCAUUACUUCUUUCAACAUAUUGUACUUUUCUCAACCCCUUAUGCACAUCUUUAUCAUCUUAUAUCCCUGAUUGAUGAAGACAUUUUGACAAUGUUUUAUUUUUUUAUCUUUUAAUUUUAGUAUGACAAUGUUAGCGUUUACUCUUUUAACAGACACUGUUUUUGAUAACACACUCGCUCACCUGAUAACAGGUGACCCAAUGGAUCUUGAAGAGACUCUGAUACCAUCUUAGAAAUCGUGGUUGAGCUUAACACAACCCCACAAAACCGGCUUGUGAGAUGAGGAUUACCCCCACUUAUAAACACAUUGUCAGGCCAUGUUCUAUCCGAUGUGGGACUCUUAACAAUAGUAAGUCUCAAAAGAUUGCAAGAUUGAAAAACAAUGACAAAAAAGUCGAUUGUGAAAGCAAAUGUGAGUUACAACAACGUGAGUUACAAAGGUUUUUUUUUUUUUUUAGGGAAGUUACAAAGGUUUUUGUAUACGGGUGGUUCUAUUCUUUUUUACAUAUUAGUUAAUCAAAUUAUCACAGUAACAGUUUUUUUUUUUUUUUUUAGCAAAGGCAAAAUUAAUGCAUUUCAUUCAAGAACAAAGAGUACAAAGUUGAAGGUACACAGCAACCCUAUUAGCUUGCCUCCUAAUAUACGACAGUUUAAAGUCGGUAUUUGUAAACAAGAGACCUCUACAUUGAGAAAUAAUGUCUCCAACUUCAUUGAGGUGAGUGGAGGUAGUGUGAAUGGCAUCAGCAAGGGUUAUACAAUCUGUUUCAAAGCGGACAGUUUGGAAUCCCAAAGAGACUGCCAAUUUUAUCGCCUCUGACAAUGCAGUAGCUUCAGCUUCUAAAACAGUCAUCGAGGAUGGAAAAAACGCAGAUUUUGCCAUUAAGAGUUGCCCCUCAGAAUUUCGAAAACAGAUUCCAUAUCCAACAAUUGUAUUAUGGUGGAAAAUUGCUGCGUCAACGUUGCAUUUUAUCACUCCACGAAUGGACUUGUAUGCACAGUAAUAGUUGAUACAAGAUAAUUUGGAUAAUUUUUGCAUCUUUUUUACACUAUUCAAUAUUUCAUAUGUAGACGUUGCAAGUUUUUUUUCCUUAGCUUUCUAAUAAAACUAAUAAUCCAAAAAUGAGUUGUGAGCCUUGGACUUGAUCACGCUAAUCUUAUUGCAACAACGUAUUGGUAGGUACAUUUGCGAGCUUCAAUAUAAGAAAGAAAAUUGUAUACUUCUUUGUACUCAUGAAGUGCCAAAUAUUGAAUUACAAUUUACGAUAGCAAGAGUUCCAAAAUUAGUGUUGAACUUAUUGGACAUGUUUGUUUAUAGGAUGUGUUAAAGGAGUAGAAAAUUAAU
rnacentral:lncRNA from 1 species